UACGGAGGGUGCGAGCGUUGUCCGGAAUCACUGGGCGUAAAGGGCGCGUAGGUGGCGCGGGCAGUCAACGGUGAAAGUUCGGGGCUCAACCCUGAAUCGGCCGUCGAUACUCUCGUGCUUGAGCACUGUAGAGGCAGAUGGAAUUCCGGGUGUAGCGGUGGAAUGCGUAGAGAUCGGGAGGAACACCAGUGGCGAAGGCGGCUACCUGGACCAGCACUGACACUGAGGCACGAAAGCGUGGGGAGCAAACAGG
rnacentral:rRNA from 1 species